rnacentral:rRNA from 1 species
GACGGACGCUGGCGGCGUGCUUAACACAUGCAAGUCGAACGGAAAGGCCCCAUCUUGCUGGGGUACUCGAGUUGCGAACGGGUGAGUAACACGUGGGUUAUCUGCCCUGCACUCUGGGAUAAGCUUGGGAAACUGGGUCUAAUACCGGAUAGGACCUUUCUUUAUUGUGUGCGGUGGCAAGUUUUUCGGUGCUUGAUGAGCCCGCGGCCUAUCAGCUUGUUGGUGGGGUAAUGGACUACCAAGGCGGCGACGGGUAGCCGGCCUGAGAGGGUGUACGGCCAAAUUGGGACUGAGACACGGCACAGACUCCUACGGGAGGGAGCAGUGGAGAAUAUAGCACAAUGGGCGGAAGCAUGAUGCAGCGAAGCCGCGUGGGGGAUGACAGCCUUCGGGUUGUAAACCCAUUUCGGCAGGGACGAAGCGUUAGUGACGGUACCUGCAGAAGAAGCUCCGGCUAACUACGUG